rnacentral:tRNA from 1 species
AUCUAAAUAGUUUAAUAAAAAUAUUAGUUUGUGGUGCUAAAGUUAUAAUUUAUUAUUUUAGAUU